AAAUUGACACCGUAACUUCGGGAGAAGGUGUGCCCUUGAGGGUGAGGAGCUUCGCGCUCGGAGCCUUUGGGGGUUGCAGAGAAUCGGGGGUAGCGACUGUUUAUCAAAAACACAGGACUCUGCGAAGUCGCAAGACGACGUAUAGGGUCUGACGCCUGCCCGGUGCCGGAAGGUUAACAGGAGAUGUCAGCGCAAGCAAAGCAUCGAAUCGAAGCCCCGGUAAACGGCGGCCGUAACGAUAACGGUCCUAAGGUAGCGAAAUUCCUUGGCGGGUAAGUUCCGUCCUGCACGAAUGGCGUAACGACUUCCCCACUGUCUCGACCCGGGACUCAGCGAAAUUGAAUUCGGGGUGAAGAUGCCCCGUACCCGCGGAAAGACGGAAAGACCCCGUGAACCUUUACUGCAGCUUGGCACUGGUUUUCGGAUUUGUCUGUGUAGGAUAGGUGGGAGGCUGUGAAGUGGGGCCGCUAGGUUUCACAGAGCCAACGUUGAAAUACCACCCUGACAAAUCUGAAAGCCUAACCGUGACCCGUAAGCCGGGUCCGGAACACUGCCUGAUGGGUAGUUUGACUGGGGCGGUCACCUCCGAAAGAGUAACGGAGGCGCGCAAAGGUUCCCUCAGGCUGAUUGGAAACCAGCCGUAGAGUGUAAAAGCACAAGGGAGCUUGACUGCAACUCAUACAAGAGGAGCAGGUACGAAAGUAGGCUUUAGUGAUCCGGUGGUUCUGAAUGGAAGGGCCAUCGCUCAACGGAUAAAAGGUACUCCGGGGAUAACAGGCUUAUCACGCCCAAGAGUUCACAUCGACGGCGUGGUUUGGCACCUCGAUGUCGGCUCAUCGCAUCCUGGGGCUGUAGUAGGUCCCAAGGGUUUGGCUGUUCGCCAAUUAAAGCGGUACGCGAGCUGGGUUCAAAACGUCGUGAGACAGUUUGGUCCCUAUCUUCCGUGGGCGCAGGAGUCUUGAAGUGGAUCUGUCCCUAGUACGAGAGGACCGGGAUGGACGAACCCCUGGUGUUCCGGUUGUUUUGCCAGAGGCAUUGCCGGGUAGCUAUGUUCGGAGAGGAUAACCGCUGAAAGCAUCUAAGCGGGAAACCAACCACAAGAUGAGGACUCCCUGAAGGUCCGUCGUAGACCACGACGUUGAUAGGUCGGGUGUGGAAGUGCGGCAACGCAUGGAGCUAACCGAUACUAAUAGACCGCUUGGCUUGACU
rnacentral:rRNA from 1 species